rnacentral:rRNA from 1 species
UACAGAGGUCUCAAGCGUUUUCGGAUUCAUUGGGCGUAAAGGGUGCGUAGGCGGCGCGGUAAGUCGGGUGUGAAAUCUUGGAGCUUAACUCCGAAACUGCAUUCGAUACUGCCGUGCUUGAGGACUGGAGAGGAGACUGGAAUUUACGGUGUAGCGGUGAAAUGCGUAGAUAUCGUAAGGAAGACCAGUGGCGAAGGCGGGUCUCUGGACAGUUCCUGACGCUGAGGCACGAAGGCCAGGGGAGCAAACGGG